rnacentral:lncRNA from 1 species
UGUGGUUUCCCGGUGCUCUGCCUACACCUUUGAAAACAGUAUUCUGAUCUUGCUGGACGUGUAAUAGUUACCCAGCCUUCAAUGGAUUGAGGAGCAACCCAGGACAGUGGACAAAGCCUUGGUCUUGAAUCACGUGGUCUCUUCUCUUGUUCAGACUUUGGCAGCUGGUCACAUGUGUGAUUUGGACCCUAUUACAUCAACCAUAAAAUGAUUGAAGAACCAGACAUGCUGUCUUUUUCACAGAAGAUUAGGGAGAGGCAGUUAGCUCAUGAAUGAGAAAAUAUAAUAUAAUUUGAACAGUUCUGCAGUCAUUAAGAUAGUGGUAGUAACAGCCAAUAUGCAUGUUGAAUGCUUAGUCUGUAUAGCCUGUUGUGCCAAGCUUUGUGCAAGAAUUACUUUAUUUUAUCUGCAAAACAACCCUACAGGAGUCAUAGUUAUUAUCUCUGUAUCAGAGAUACAAACACUAGAGCAUAGAGAAGCAAAGAUACUUGCCAAAGUCAUGUAGCAAAAACUUGUCAAAGCUAGGAUUCAAACUCAGAUCCUAGUCCUUCCCCACCAGGCAAGGCUGAAUUACUCUACAGAGAGAGAGUGAGUGCGUGCGAGAGACAGAGAGGGAGAGAGAAAAUUCUUUCCUAGCUCUGCCUUAUUUCUCUGGCUCUGAUGAUAGGAAAGCAGUGGCCACAUUGUCAUAAGCUCCAGUCACUCUCCAAGAUGGCAGAACAUUCCAACACUGGUUAAUGGCUCUGGGAUCAUCCCAUAUUGAGGGACAUCCAUCCCUUUGUGUUCUGACAUUGAUGUUACUGUCAGUUGACAGUGAGCUUUAUCAUCAAUCCCUUCAAGUAC